rnacentral:rRNA from 1 species
GACGAACGCUGGCGGCGUGCUUAACACAUGCAAGUCGAACGGAAAGGCCCUGCUUUUGUGGGGUGCUCGAGUGGCGAACGGGUGAGCAACACGUGAGUAACCUGCCCUUGACUUUGGGAUAACUUCAGGAAACUGGGGCUAAUACCGGAUAGGAGCUCCUGCUGCAUGGUGGGGGUUGGAAAGUUUCGGCGGUUGGGGAUGGACUCGCGGCUUAUCAGCUUGUUGGUGGGGUAGUGGCUUACCAAGGCUUUGACGGGUAGCCGGCCUGAGAGGGUGACCGGCCACAUUGGGACUGAGUUACGGCCCAGACUCCUACGGGAGGCAGCAGUGGGGAAUAUUGCACAAUGGGCGGAAGCCUGAUGCAGCAACGCCGCGUGCGGGAUGACGGCCUUCGGGUUGUAAACCGCUUUCGCCUGUGACGAAGCGUGAGUGACGGUAAUGGGUAAAGAAGCACCGGCUAACUACGUG